AGAGUUUGAUCCUGGCUCAGAGCGAACGCUGGCGGCAGGCCUAACACAUGCAAGUCGAACGGGCUCUUCGGAGCUAGUGGCGGACGGGUGAGUAACACGUGGGAACGUGCCUUUAGGUUCGGAAUAAGCCCGGGAAACUGGGUCUAAUACCGAAUGUGCCCUUCGGGGGAAAGAUUUAUCGCCUUUAGAGCGGCCCGCGUCUGAUUAGCUAGUUGGUGAGGUAAAGGCUCACCAAGGCUACGAUCAGUAGCUGGUCUGAGAGGAUGGCCAGCCACAUUGGGACUGAGACACGGCCCAAACUCCUACGGGAGGCAGCAGUGGGGAAUCUUGCGCAAUGGGCGAAAGCCUGACGCAGCCAUGCCGCGUGAAUGAUGAAGGUCUUAGGAUUGUAAAAUUCUUUCACCGGGGACGAUAAUGACGGUACCCGGAGAAGAAGCCCCGGCUAACUUCGUGCCAGCCGCCGCGGUAAUUC
rnacentral:rRNA from 1 species